GCUAUAGCCUUACUUUUUUGUCAUUUUUUACCACUUUUUCAAAAAUAAAAAAAUGAAAAAGUGGCUAAAAGUGAACGAAAAGUUAAGGCUAUAGCCUUACUUUU